rnacentral:rRNA from 1 species
GACGAACGCUGGCGGCGUGCUUAACACAUGCAAGUCGAACGGAAAGGCCCUGCUUGCAGGGUACUCGAGUGGCGAACGGGUGAGUAACACGUGGGUGAUCUGCCCUGCACUUCGGGAUAAGCCUGGGAAACUGGGUCUAAUACCGGAUAGGAGCCAUUUUUAGUGUGAUGGUUGGAAAGUUUUUUCGGUGUAGGAUGAGCUCGCGGCCUAUCAGCUUGUUGGUGGGGUAAUGGCCUACCAAGGCGGCGACGGGUAGCCGGCCUGAGAGGGUGGACGGCCACAUUGGGACUGAGAUACGGCCCAGACUCCUACGGGAGGCAGCAGUGGGGAAUAUUGCACAAUGGGCGCAAGCCUGAUGCAUCGACGCCGCGUGGGGGAUGACGGCCUUCGGGUUGUAAACUCCUUUCGCUAGGGACGAAGCUUUUUGUGACGGUACCUAGAGAAGAAGCACCGGCUAACUACGUG